rnacentral:rRNA from 1 species
UACGUAGGGUGCAAGCGUUGCCCGGAUUUAUUGGGCGUAAAGCGCGCGUAGGCGGCUCUGCAAGCCGGAUGUGAAAUCCCCGGGCUCAACCUGGGAACUGCAUUCGGGACUGCAUUGCUAGAGUAUGGGAGAGGGAAGUGGAAUUUCAGGUGUAGCGGUGAAAUGCGUAGAUAUCUGAAGGAACAUCAGUGGCGAAAGCGACUUCCUGGACCAAUACUGACGCUCAUGUGCGAAAGCGUGGGGAGCAAACAGG